GGAAGUAAAAGUCUUAACAAGGUCCCCGUUGGUGAACCAGCGGAGGGAUCAUUACAGGACUCGCAAGACUCCUACAACCCUGUGAACUUAACUAUAAGCACGUUGCUUCGGCGGGUGUCUCGGAGGGGGUUCUCCCUCCCCGAGACGCUAAACCCGCCGGCAGCCUACUAUACUCUGUCUCUUUGCGUUGGCAUCUCGAGUACAAUCAAACAAGUUAAAACUUUCAACAACGGAUCUCUUGGUUCU
rnacentral:misc_RNA from 1 species